CAACGCUCCUUCAAGCCCCUUCCUGCGCUCCUGUUUGGGCUUCUCUCCUGGAUCCUGGAGAAUGUUUCUGAGGCGUUGGGGAGGCCUCGGUCUCAGGUCACGGUUUUGGGUGUGGCCCCGCGCUGUUCGGAACCUACCCUCUCACUGGGCGUGGGCCCAGCCGUACGGUUUUCCUCUUUUGCAGACCAUCCUCAAAGGCACUCCGGGGACUCAGGCCUGCUUGCUGACUCCCACCUGCCUGGGCAGCCUGCACAGGUGCACAGGUCCCAGGUGCAGGCCACCACCUCUGGGUGGGCACCAGGACUGCCCUCGGUGCUCAUAGGGAGUGGCUGGGCCACGGAAGGUUGGCCUGGGACCACGGCUCUGCUGACUCUCUGCUGUGUGGAUGCUUUUCCUGGAGCACUUUCCAAGCCUCCCUGCCCCCACCCUGAGCCUGGGCGCAUCCACCACUCAGGGGCUUUCUGUGGGUCUUCGUCAGGGAAGGCCCUGGCUUUGUAUUCCCCACAAGGAGCACUGAGUUUCUUAGGAAAUGCAUCUUCAGUAUUAGGUCUCAAACUCUUGUAAAAAGUUUAUGUGUAGGAUAAAAGCCUUUUAGAGGAUGCGUCUGCUGUCCCUCUAAGGCUUUGCUGGUGAGCCGUUCAAACCGACAGCAGCAGGAAGGUGAAUAUUCUCGCGGCUCUGCGUUCCCAAGGCACAGGGCUGUUUGGAGACUCUGGGCAUUACUUUUCAUCUGUUUCUGUGGUUGUCAAAUGAAUUCUUCACCCAACCUGCAGUUGGCUAAGUCCUUGAGAAGCUGUCAGAUUAGUAGGGAGGCUGCCUGCACCUAGGGGCCCCGUCACUCACUCACUUGGUUUUGCGGAUACUCAUGGAACAUUAUCACGCACCCAGCAUUGUCCCAGUGCUGAGUAGGACGGGAAUGGGACUCUGCAGCCAGGGCAGGAGAAGGAAAUCUUGCAGUCCCAUCUUGCAGAAGUAGAAACAGGUCGUUCCGCAUAAGCCACAGUUGGAGGAUUCAGAGCCCAUUCAGACUGCACGGGCCACCUGAGAGUCUUUGUCUUCAUCCGUUUUUAGAACCCCACCCACACAGGAAGUUAAGCUGGAGGACCUCUGCAUGAUUUGUCCCGGGAUGUGUGGUUUCUGGGGCAAUGGAGAAGGGGUCAGGCCUGUCCUAGAGACAUCGUGCCCAGAAACGGGAACAUGGUACUCACUGGAUGCACCCAGGUGGCCUGAGCUCGCCCCCCAGACUGCAGAACAGAGUGAGCCCGAGCUGCCCACGGCAGUGCUCCUUGUGCGGCAAGACCUCUCCUCGUGGGCCCGUGGGGGUGGGGCCACAAAUCGGGUGAAAAACUUCACGCUGGCUGCUGGGGUGUUCCUCCCCUCUGGCGUUCCCAGCCGUUGUCAUGGGGCUUCCUCUUACACUGAGAAGAAGAGCAUUUCUACUUGGUCACCGGCUCAGAUACCACUUCUGGAUCCCUCGGAGUUUCUGCAUGGAAUAACAACCAUUUAAAAGAGCACUGGGUUCCUCCCUUUCAUCUUUGUAACAGAUUCUUGCCUAGCAAUGACAUCUGGUGACAUCUCACAGUAGAGUGCUUAGCGCAGAAUCAGGUCCCCACAGCUCUUGCACAAUAAAAGUGGAAUAAAGUGCA